rnacentral:rRNA from 1 species
CUAGCAUAUCAAUAAGCGGAGGAAAAGAAAACCAACAGGGAUUGCCCCAGUAACGGCGAGUGAAGCGGCAACAGCUCAGAUUUGAAAUCUGGCCUCGGGCCCGAGUUGUAAUCUGUAGAGGAUGCUUUUGGCAAGGCGCCGUCCGAGUUCCCUGGAACGGGACGCCGGAGAGGGUGAGAGCCCCGUACAGGUGGACGCCGAGCCUCUGUAAAGCUCCUUCGACGAGUCGAGUAGUUUGGGAAUGCUGCUCAAAGUGGGAGGUAUAUUUCUUCUAAAGCUAAAUAUAGGCCAGAGACCGAUAGCGCACAAGUAGAGUGAUCGAAAGAUGAAAAGCACUUUGAAAAGAGGGUUAAAAAGUACGUGAAAUUGUUGAAAGGGAAGCGCUUGUGACCAGACUUGCGCCCGGCGAAUCAUCCGGCGUUCUCGCCGGUGCACUACCCAGGUUCAGGCCAGCAUCGGUUUUAGCGGGGGGAUAAAGGCAGCGGGAAUGUGGCUCCCUCGGGGAGUGUUAUAGCCCGCCGCUUAAUACCCUCGCCGGGACCGAGGACCGCGCUUCUGCAAGGAUGCUGGCGUAAUGGUCAUCAGCGACCCGUCUUGAAACACGGACCAAGGAGUCAAGCAUUAGGGCGAUGUUUGGGUGUCAAACCCGCACGCGAAAUGAAAGUGAACGCAGGUGGGAGCUUCGGCGCAUCAUCGACCGAUCCUGAAGUUCUCGGAUGGAUUUGAGUAAGAGCCUACGGCUUGGACCCGAAAGAUGGUGAACUAUGCUUGUGUAGGGUGAAGCCAGAGGAAACUCUGGUGGAGGCUCGCAGCGGUUCUGACGUGCAAAUCGAUCGUCAAAUAUGGGCAUGGGGGCGAAAGACUAAUCGA